GGGCCAUAGCUCAGUGGCACAGCACCUGCCUUGCAAGCAGAAGGUCCCAGGUUCAGUCCUGGCAUCUCCA